UGGGAGUCAAAUCCCAGGCAUCAGGCACACUACUUCUACGUGGUGGGGAAAAUGGCACUUGGAAAAUUCAGUUUCAAUGGUCCUUUCAGAGCUACAGCAUCUGUCUCUCAAUGUCUAUGUUAAUUCCUCUAAAAGGACUCAGACCUGAUGUGGCUCCCAGCCUUCUUGGACCCCUCCUAUCUGUGGUACUGAUGGGUACAGAACUCACACACCCUACCCUGGGUGUGAGUAAGAGCAUGGGCCUUGUAAUCUUGGCUUGUUUGGAAAGAGGAAGGGGAAAUUCCAGAAGUGAAGGUCAUAACAGUUUUCUGUCAGAUGGGGUGGUGGCUCAAAGCAGAGGUUAUGAGCCUGAGUAUGUAGCUCCAUCACCCAGUGUGAACUUGGGCAAGUCCUUACCUUUUCCCCUCUGCAUCCUCUCCAUCCACUUCCCUCACUGACAUUCCAAAACACACACACACACAUACACACACACACACACACACACACAUUUUUAUUUUAAGACAAUUGUUGAUUCACAUGCAGUUUUAAGAAAUGCUAGAGAUCACAGACCAGGCACAGUGGCUCAUGCCUGUAAUCCAGGCACUUUGGGAGGUCGAGGCAGGUGGAUCACUUGAGGUCAGGAGUUCGAGACUAGCCUGGCCAAUGUGGCGAAACCCCAUCUCUACUAAAAAUACAAAAAUUAGCUGGGAGUGUUGGCAUGCACCUGUAAUCCCAGCUACUCAAGUGGCUGAGGCAGAAGAAUUGCUUGAACAUGGGAAGCGGAGGUUACAGUGAGCCGAGAUCGCACCACUGCACUCCGGACUGGGC
rnacentral:lncRNA from 10 species